rnacentral:rRNA from 1 species
UACGAAGGGGGCUAGCGUUGUUCGGAAUCACUGGGCGUAAAGGGCGCGUAGGCGGCCGAUCAAGUCGGGGGUGAAAGCCUGUGGCUCAACCACAGAAUUGCCUUCGAUACUGUUUGGCUUGAGACCGGAAGAGGUUAGUGGAACUGCGAGUGUAGAGGUGAAAUUCGUAGAUAUUCGCAAGAACACCAGUGGCGAAGGCGGCCAACUGGCCCGAUACUGACGCUGAGGCGCGAAAGCGUGGGGAGCAAACAGG